rnacentral:rRNA from 1 species
UGGGGAAUCUUGGACAAUGGGGCAACCCUGAUCCAGCCAUGCCGCGUGGGUGAUGAAGGCCUUAGGGUCGUAAAGCCCUUUUCGCCGGGGAAGAUAAAUGACGGUACCCGGUAAAGAAGCUCCGGCUAACUCCGUGCCAGCAGCCGCGGUAAUACGGAGGGGGCCUAGCGUUGUUCGGAAUGACUGGGCGUAAAGCGCGGCGUAGGCGGAUCGGAAAGUUGGGGGUGAAAUCCCGGGGCUCAACCUCGGAAUGGCCUUCAAAACUCCCCGGUCUUGAGUUCGAGAGAGGUGAGUGGAAUUCCGAGUGUAGAGGGUGAAAUUUCGUAGAUAUUCGGAGGAACACCAGUGGCGAAGGCGGCUCACUGGCUCGACACUGACG